rnacentral:snoRNA from 1 species
AUCCCAUGAUGAGGAACUUGUGAAGUAACUCCUUGAAUCGCUCCCAAGCCUCAUAUAAAGGCUCAUCAUCCAAUUGUUGGAAUGUUGUGAUCUCGUUCCUCAACUU